UCCCAGCAGUGUAACUUGACAACUGAGGCUGGGCGCGAGGCUCCAAAGAAUAACACUGAGAGGCAGGCCAGCCCAUACAAACUGGUAAGUUCCCCAGGGUCCGAAGCAUCAUGUGUGAUCCCGCAAAGUGCACCCACAGUGUAAGGUGUGAGUGUUCAUUCCGCAUCACCGCAGCCAAAAUGGCAGCACCGUCACCGCUGUCUACUCUGGCUGUGGUGAUUUUGUUGCAGUGCUAUCUGCAACAUCACACACGUCGCCACCGUCAGUCAGAUAAAAUGAGGCUAAAGGAAGGAAGCACAAAGUGGGAGGGAAAUAAUUUUCAAGGGAGUAAGUCCCUUUCAAGGGACGCGGGUGGCACUGUGGGUUAAACCACAGAGCCUAGGACUUGCCGAUCAGAAGGUUGGCAGUUGAAAUCCCCGCAAUAGGGUGAGCUCCCUUUUCUUGGUCCCUGCUCCUGCCAACCUAGCAGUUCGAAAGCAAGUCAAAGUGCAAGUAGAUAAAUAGGUACCACUCCGGCGGGAAGGUAAACGGCAUUUCCAUGUGCUGCUCUGGUUCGCCAGAAGUGGCUUAGUCAUGCUGGCCACAUGACCCGGAAGCUGUACGCCAGCUCCCUCAGCCAAUAAAGCGAGAUGAGCACCACAACCCCAGAGUCGGCCACAACUGGACCUAAUGAUCAGGGGUCCCUUUACCUUUAAGUCCCUUUCAGUUGGGGCUUCCCAGGAGUUCAAUUUCCCGCUCAGCAGUGGAGCUCACUGAAUGACCUUGGGGCAGCCCAGUUUAUUUUACAGGGUUGUUGUGAGGAUAAAAUAGCAAAGGGAAGAAAACUAUGCAAGCCCCCUUGAGCUCCUUGGAUUAUAAAAGUGGGUUAUAAUUGUAAUCAAGAAUACAUGGGUCAAAUUAAAAGCUUCUUCCAUUUACUGUCUAUCAUCAUACAACUAUAGUGCUUAAUGCUCAUUAGGCCCUUUGCAAUAAGUUAACACUUCACAACAGUGCUUAGUUGUAAGCAAACUAUGAAGGCAAACAGAAGAUGAAUGAAUGAAAUGAGAGGGGGGAUUUUUAGUGAAAGAAAGAUCAGAUAAAGAGAAGAUGAAAACCAAGAAAAAUGUUGAAAAAAGAAAGCAUGGGUAAGAAUGAGUUUUGCACCAAAGCGCUGCAGCUGCAGAGACAAAAAUAGCAGAAAGAUGCAGAAAGCGAUGGCCAAGGAGAUUGACAAAGAGGACUAAAAGAAACAGGAGUGAGAGUAUCAAAUGUAUGAGAAAACAUAGCACAAAAUGAAAAAGUGGCAGAAUCAACAGAACCUGAUAUUACAGAAAUAAAGAGACGAAGUGGAAGGAGGACUCUUGAGAGUUGGUGAAAAUAAUGGUCACAAAAUGAAUGGGAAAGAGGGAGGGGAACCAAAACAAAGAUGAUGAAGGCUGCAGUCCUGAAGAUAAUUUACAAGGGAGUGAGUCCCAUUAAAUACAGUUGGAGCUUACCUCUGAGUAAACAUGGAUCUGGUUGCCCUGCAUGACUACAAUUCUAAACAGCAGGGAUGAGGAACCUCCAUUUUGUUGGAGUUAAACUUUCAUCUGCCCCAGCCAGCUUGGACAAUGGUCAGGGAUAAUGGGAGUUGUAGUCCACCAUCAUCUGGAAGGCUACAAGUUCCCCAUUCUUGGUAGGCAUGGCCAAACUUGGCCCUCCAGCUGUUUUGGGACUACAGUUCCCAUCAUCCCUGAGCACUGGUCCUGUUAGCUAGGGGUGAUGGGAGUUGUAGUCUCAAAAAAGCUGGAGGGCCAAGUUUGGCCAUGCCUGGCUUAUAGCUUGUUCAGAUGUUGGAUUUGUCACCCAAACUGUACGACAUUCCAUUCCUGAUUUCUCUUUUUGUAACUUACAGCUCAUCUCCCAGGCCUUCGAAAAAACUGUGAAUGCCUUGAACCAAAUUUAUCCUUUUGCUCUGAGACUUGAAAAGAAUUGUGAACUCAUUGUUUACUGGAAGUUAGCAGCUACUUGAAAUUGAACUUUUCCUGUGUGUAUACAUUACCAUCCCCUGAUCCCACAGGAAUUAUACACAGAUAUCCAGCCUCACUGGUGGAAAACAUGACCAGGCGCAGUUGGCAAACAUCAUCCAACCAGAACUGACUGUGCUACCAGAAGGUUUGAGGCUCUUUCCAAAUAAAUUGGAUGUUCUGCAGAUGGCACUCA